CGCCGCGUGGAGGAUGACGGCCUUCGGUUGUAACUCCUUUCUGUGGGAAGAGCAGAAGACGGUACCACAGGAAGAAGUCUCGGCUAACUACGUGC
rnacentral:rRNA from 1 species